rnacentral:ncRNA from 1 species
ACAUAAAAUAUACAUAUUUCUCAUAUAUCCUCGGGAAUUGGCCCGAGAGUCUCUACCCGGUGACCGUAAUCACUGGACUAUGAGCUGAAAGUGAAUCUAG